rnacentral:rRNA from 1 species
AUUGAACGCUGGCGGCAUGCCUUACGCAUGCAAGUCGAACGGCAGCACGGGAGCAAUCCUGGUGGCGAGUGGCGAACGGGUGAGUAAUAUAUCGGAACGUGCCCAGUCGUGGGGGAUAACGUAGCGAAAGCUACGCUAAUACCGCAUACGAUCUAUGGAUGAAAGCGGGGGAUCGCAAGACCUCGCGCGAUUGGAGCGGCCGAUAUCAGAUUAGGUAGUUGGUGGGGUAAAGGCUCACCAAGCCGACGAUCUGUAGCUGGUCUGAGAGGACGGCCAGCCAAACUGGGACUGGGAAACGGCCCAGACUCCUACGGGAGGCAGCAGUGGGGAAUUUUGGACAAUGGGCGCAAGCCUGAUCCAGCAAUGCCGCGUGCAGGAUGAAGGCCUUCGGGUUGUAAACUGCUUUUGUACGGAACGAAACGGCGAGCUCUAAUACAGUUCGCUAAUGACGGUACCGUAAGAAUAAGCACCGGCUAACUACGUGCCAGCCGCCGCGGUAA